AGUGAACGCUGGCGGUAGGCCUAACACAUGCAAGUCGAACGGCAGCACAGUAAGAGCUUGCUCUUACGGGUGGCGAGUGGCGGACGGGUGAGGAAUACAUCGGAAUCUACUUUUUCGUGGGGGAUAACGUAGGGAAACUUACGCUAAUACCGCAUACGACCUACGGGUGAAAGCAGGGGAUCUUCGGACCUUGCGCGAUUGAAUGAGCCGAUGUCGGAUUAGCUAGUUGGCGGGGUAAAGGCCCACCAAGGCGACGAUCCGUAGCUGGUCUGAGAGGAGGAUCGGCCACACUGGAACUGAGACGCGGUCCAGGCUCCUACGGGAGGGAGCAGUGGGGAAUAUUGGACAAUGGGGGCAAGCCUGAUCCAGCCAUACCGCGUGGGUGAAGAAGGCCUUCGGGUUGUAAAGCCCUUUUGUUGGGAAAGAAAAGCAGCAGGUUAAUACCCCGCUGUUCUGACGGUACCCAAAGAAUAAGCACCGGCUAACUUCGUG
rnacentral:rRNA from 1 species